rnacentral:lncRNA from 1 species
UAGAUAGGGCCAGAAUCAGGCUGAGGUAGGCCUACAGACCUCCCAGUCCCUCACAAUGAGAGACAUCCAGAUAAGAAGUGUGUGCUGGGAGACUGGACCUUCUCUCCUAGUGACUAGAAACAAGAGGCUUUCCAGGGCUGUGCAGAGAGCAUGGCCAGUACGGUCUCUGCCAUGGGCGAAGUAGAGGCUGGAGAGAAUUAGACCUUCCAAGACUUGUAAACAGCCCAAAAAAAUAGAGGAAGGAGCUUUGUGGGUGUCAGGAACUGAAAGGUGGAGAUGAUGUGGAAGAGGAAAUCUGUGUAUCAACAUACAGACUGCCUGCAGCUCUGCCUAAAUCAGCUUGCUUGCAAUGAAUAUGGUUGAUGGCCUGGUAGAGGAAAAUGUCCACUUUGCAGAACAUGAACAUCAUUUUCUGCCUAUAUAAAGGAGACAAAGACAGGCUUGAACUCAGGACUAAGGCUCAGUUAUCUUUGGGCCAAGUCAGGCACCCUGGUUGCCAUGUCAUGGGUCCUUAGCAUGGGCCCCAGGGAUCCCAGAGAGGCAAAAGAGAAUCCAAAGCCCAGACCCUUGACCAAAACCUUGUCCAGUCUCAACCAUUAAAUCCACCCUUAUAAAGGACUUUCAGACAUUUGCAGAGCCCACAGGUCUCUAUCCCAGGCCAUCUGGCAAAAGAACUUCUAGAGCUCUGACAACUGGAG